UAGCAAACUUGUGUUAUAUAAUUAAUUUAUCUGUAUGUCAAUGAGACGCACAUGUUUAAUAUCUGUCACCUGUGAUUGCCCUUUAACCCCUGGUCUUGGCUACUUUAAUAUAUAAUAUAUACCUCGAUAUAUACUGCUUUUUCGCAGUUCCACUCAUGGUAAGAAUCGAUUCCUUACUGGCUUAAGGCCUUAAGCUCACAGCUCACUAGUCGCUGCGAGUAAUAACUGUGCUUGAUAUAUAAUUUGUGCUAUUUACUGUAGUUCGAUUUGCUUUUAAUGCCCGCAGCAAUCCCUACCUUGCAGGUACCCUAG
rnacentral:lncRNA from 1 species